AAUGGCCGAUAUGGGAAAAUUGGAUAUCAUUUAACAUGAUGCCCGAAUCUAACGACAUUCCGUUCAGAAGUUAUAACCAAAAAUAGCCAUUUUUCAUAUCUCCGGACCAGUAGGUGGCGAUGCGCUGAGACGCAGCAUGUAACCUCAGGUCAUGCUUGUGAUGACAUGGACCAAGUUUGAAUAUGAUAGAGGAGAUAGAGCCUUAUGUCUAUUUUCACAAGCGCUAAGUACAAUUUGGUUACACGUUUUUUACAGUUUUGACAAAUCAACUUGAAUUCCACAACUUUUUGUCGGCAUGGUCUGAAGAUGAUCUGGUUCAAUUUUAGUGAAAAUCAGAGCAACGGCCUAGGAGGAGUUAGAAAAAGUUUUCGGAAAAUUCAAAAUGGCGGGAAAAUUUUCAUGACAGAAAAUGAUGUCAUAGGGUGCAAUCGAAUCGUCUUGAGCCAAGGAAUCAGAGGGAAAAUGAAAAAGAAUUUUGUUUCUAGCUUUACUAAGGUGAGAGUGACUGUUAUGUGGAUGUGGGCAUUACAGAAGGGCAUGUGGUCCGUGCAUUUAAAUUAUUUUACAUUAUUUUAUCUUAAAUAAUUUAAACCAAGGCAGCUCACUUAAGUGAGAAACUUUGCAAGUUUUUCUGUUUCUCAAAGGACAUUGUCUCUGGUCUUCUUUUAAAGAAGGUAAAAACAACAAGACUGAAAAGUUUGUUUGGUGUCCUCAAUGAAGUUCAUAACUAAAUACAGGAAAAGUAACGCUUCUUUCCUUUGUGCCGUAAAAAAAAAAAAAAAAAAAAAGCCAGCAUAUUCCAUUCUUAUAUCCCAAAAAUUUUCUUUCUGCAAACUUUAGAUGACAGGCCUUGGAGAGCCGGUGGGUUUAGUUGAAACACGGAGCUGUUUCCAUAUCCGGCAGAAUUCCUCCUUGUAUCAAGGUACAAUUUAAAGAGCUGAAAUCCCCAAGGUCCAUUGUCAGGACAGCAGCAGGGGGACAUUUCCCAGCAUGCACUGCACAAUAACACUCCCUACCUGCCAGUCUGAAUGUUGAGUGACAGUAUCUCAUCAGGGGGUGAGAAGUGUGUUUUUAACAGGUGCAUUAAUUCAUCCUGCGGUGCGGAGAGGAAAGAAGAUCCUGAAAACAAAACAGCUCAGAAAAGAUCAGCGGGUGGGCGGAUGAGAGGAGAGAUACAACUGUGCCCUCUUUCCACAGAGCAGCAGCAACUUAUCAUAAGUUAUAAUGUGAAGAAGAGUUGAGCUGUAUAAUGUCAGUGUCUGCUGUGACUUCUGAUAAUGUCCUUGUGUUUUAGGUUUACUCGCUGCGAAACCAGUCCAUUUGAUGCUUGAGUUCCGGCUUGUUUCUUGAUGUUUUUGUUUCUGAUGGAUACUUCCAGCAGGAUAACACUUCAUGUCAAAUCAUCUCAAACUGGUGAACAUGACAGUGAGUUCACUAAACUCAAAUGACCUCCACAGUCACCAGAUCUCAGUCCAAUAGAGCAGCUUUGGGAUGUGCUGGAACGGGAAAUUCGCAUCAUGGAUGUUCAGCCGACAAAUCUGCAGCACCUGUGUGAUGAUAUCAUGACAAGAUGGAGCAAAAUCUCUGAGGAAUGUUUCCAGCACCUUGUUGAAUCUGUUACAUGAAGAAUUAAGACAGUUCUGAAGGCAAAAAGGGGUCCAACCCGGUACUAGCAAGUGAACCUAAGUGGCCGGUCACUGCCUGACGCAGCACAGGCCACGUCCACGGAUCCGCUCAGACAGCUCUAGACUUCCUGCAGUGAUUAACGGCUGCUAAAGCGCCAGGCCGGACACAGUUAAUGUCACCGGGAUUAUCGCUCCCGUCCCGCCGAACGAAGCUCGCAGAUGCCGUAAAUCUCCUGUCACGACGUCCGUUUCCAUUAGCCGUAUUUCAUCACUCACUUAAGCUCCACACCCUGAGAUCCAUCGAUUUCCACCCUGCCGUUCUGACCGACUCUUUCACUUAUAAAUCCUCAGGUAAAUGCUGGAGCGGAUAAUAUUGAGCAGAAGAGACUUCUUUCAAAAAAAAAAAAAAAAAAAAAGAUUAAUAAAUAAAAAAAAAAAAACGGACACAAUCGGAAUAUACUGUAUACUUUACUGAUUUUAGAACUACAAAGUGAACACCUUUAGUAACUGUCAUUUUAUGGACCGUGGAUGAAGAACACUUCAUUUCCCAGGAUGCUUGGAAACCUUCAACAAACAGCUAAAAUGUUUCUCUUCUUGCUUGUUUUGUUGUUGUGUCAGACUUAUGAAAUUCUUCUGUUGUGUUUAAAUUCAGUAAAUUGAAACUGACUUCCUAUAGGGGGUGUGUCAAAUUCAAUUCAAAUUCACACUCGUGUAUUUCAGAGGAGCCAAGUCUUAAAUAUUUAGUUUUGACCCAUCUGAUGUUCUUUCUUUUCUCUUCAUUUUGUUGUACUAGUGCUAAAAGCCUGUCUUUGAAGUGAAAAAAGAGAAAAGAAUAUGAAAUGAAAGGAAUAUGAAAUUACCCAGUGAUGUCCAAACUCAUAAGUAGCCUAUGACCUUCCCAGGAGGAGCGUGACGGCAGCGUUUGAUUUUCUCUGCUGAGGUCUUCAUGAGAUGCUUCAUGGGGAAGAUUCCUCAGGCCAUAAUGCUUGUCAGAAUAUUGAUGAAAAACAUACAACGCUGAAGCAAAGUUGCUGUAAAUGAAUGAAGGCCAAAACCCAAGACUUGUGAACUUCUUCAGAGCAGGUUUAGCAGCAGAUCUCAUUCACACAGACGCUGCUCUUUGUUGUUUGCUGCCGAUGUGUUUGAAACAGAAGGUGUCGUGGGAUUCCCUGAGAAAGGAUUAAGACUUACACGUGGCUUCCUUCGCUAACCUGAAGUGUUGGGAAAGAUGGGAAUACUUCAAACCGAAGCAAACAUCACAGUCUGUCAUUUUAAAGCACUCACAGAGUCACCAGCCUGCGGUGGAUGAAAACCGAGAGCGUCUGGGGCAGAAGUUGUUGACGUUGAGAUGAGGAAAAUAGGGCAUCGGAAAGGGGUUUCACUUUGGCAUUGCUGAAGCUGUAUAUCAGUGUUUAAAAUUUAAUCUCCAGCAAUCCCAAAAUCACAGGCACGUUUUACAGCACAUCGGGGUGCAACUUUGUUAACAAAACCUUCAAAAUGUAUCGAAGGUAUUGAGCCGCAAGCAACGCAGCUACACUACACACAUCCCUAGACUGUCCUGACUCUUAUUGAUGGCUCACUAACUGCUAGCUCAACUAUUGAGCUGGACAAGCUUCAUAAAUCAAGCCAAUCCCGUUACAUGUGUGUUGACGUCUCAAGGGAAGCUGAAAUUUGCAUUAUGGGGCUUUGCAGACGGCUACUAGUGAAAGCUUGCGUGUAUAUAUAAAUUGUUAUAAUAUAAACUGUAAUAUAAACAAGAACAAUUAGCAUUUUGAUUGCAAAUACAAAAUAUUUCAUCAAUAUAUUUAUAUGAAAGUAUAUGUAUUAAAACAUUUCAAAUAAUAUACACAGAUAAAUCAUUCACAAUAAGACCAGGAAAACACUUCACAAUAGGGUUUCAUUUGUUAACAUUAAUUUACUAACAAUGGAAAGUACCUCUAAUAUGCAUUUAUUAAUCUUAGUUAAUGUUAAUUUCAACAUUUACUAAUACAUUGUUAAAGUUGUAUCUUUUAAUAUUAUUUUAAUGGAUCUGAGCUGACAUGAACUAACAAUGAACAGUUGUAUUUUUAUCAACUAUUGUUAACAAAGAUUAAUAAAUACAAAUGCAUUGCUCAAUGUUAUUCAUUUUAGUUAAAAUGCAAAAAAAAGAUGCUUUUAACUCAUCACUUUAACUUUUCAAAAUGAUUUCAACUUCAUUUUUUUUAAUUUUUUUUAAGUUAUACAAGACUCAACUAGAUUAAAAAAAAUAAAUAGUUGAAAUGACUUGUACAGCCAAUUUGGUUAUACUUUUUAAUUAUAAUUAUAAAUUAUAAUUUUAAGGCAGCAACUGAUCUUUAGUUUUUAAGCUGAGUUACAGUAGGGGCAAUAUUUUACAGUGCAAAUAGGACCUUAUUGUAAAUUAAAAAUGGUAAAAUUCAUGUUGAGUUUAUCAGUUCCUUCAAAUCACUAACCUUACAUAUUAACUAUAAUAAUAGUGAUGCUUGUUUUAGCAUAAAUAAUGAAUCAAAAAUCGAUACAUCUCUAGAGGUUUCUGUAUCUCUAAUCCACACUUUUCUUAAAUGAAUUUUACCUCACAUCACAUCUGUCAUCUCCAGUCUCUUUUCAUUUAUUUUCGACUAAAGUACGGAAAGAGAAAUGUCAAGCUGGAAUUAUAUAAAUCCACUGACAGAAACGCACACGAGAAGAGAGACAUCUGAUCCUGUCAUGUUUGACCACAUGAGAAGGUACUGUAGACUGCAAAUGCUUUAGUUAUGGGUCAAUCCCUCAAAGUAAAAGUGACAUAAAAAAAAAAUCAUAAUUUUGUGCUGGUAAACCCUAUGUUAUUGGGACAAAAUGUCCCCAAAAAGAUGUCCUUGUCCUUGUGGGGACAUUUUUUGGUCCCCAUGAGGAAAUAAAGCACUGAA